CGGGGCAUAGCUCAAAUGGCUUAGAGCGCUCGCUUUGGGAGCGAGAGGUUCCCAGUUCAAGCCUGGGUGCCCCGA
rnacentral:tRNA from 1 species